rnacentral:rRNA from 1 species
UACGGGGGGAGCAAGCGUUGUUCGGAUUUACUGGGCGUAAAGGGCGCGUAGGCGGCGCAACAAGUCACUUGUGAAAUCUCCGGGCUUAACCCGGAGCGGUCAAGUGAUACUGUCGUGCUAGAGUGCGGAAGAGGCGAGUGGAAUUCCCGGUGUAGCGGUGAAAUGCGCAGAUAUCGGGAGGAACACCUAUUGGCGAAGGCAGCUCGCUGGGACGUCACUGACGCUGGAGAACGCGAAAAGCGUGGGGGAGCAAACAGG